GCACCAUUUUUCAAAAUUUAAAAUUCAAGUCUGUUGUAUUUUCAGACCCAUAAUCAGAGUGGUUUCAUUUGCAAAUCACUAAGGAGACUGAGAACUCCAGAUAUUUAAUUUAUUCAAAUCACCCUGAGAGGUUCAUCUUCACCUCUGUAGUGUACUUUUAAUUUUAUUCUAAAUCUACUAAUUCUCAGCAAACCCUGAUAGGAUUUGGUUUCUGCAGUCAACUUUAAUCCCUUCAGAGUGGCCAAACCAAUGAAAAUGGUCAAUAGCUAAGGGGAUGGUCAAUAUGGUCAAUAAAUGGUCAAUACAGUAAGGGGAUCUAAAACUUCUCUCCAGUUUUGUGGAUCUGUAACUCAAAGAGAGCAUAACUGAAUUCCACAGCAGUAAAAGGCAACUUUGCAGUCUGAAUCUAACACAGAUUCAGAAUUUCAUUUUUGCUAUUUAUGACUUAAUAUUUUAUUGUUCAAGAAGGAAAACCUUAUUGUACUGAGCAAUUCCAUGUUGUGUCAUUGUAAAUAUUUCCAAUAUGGAGUCCAUCUGAACUACCAUUAUUAAUCCCCUUCACAAACAGCAGGGAAGUACAGAUAUUAGUGGGUGAUUCAGAUAAAUGUCUAAAAAAGAAGAACCCUGUAAUUGACGGGUUUUUCCCAAUGUUUAUACAGGAUCAUAGGGAACUCACUCAGAUGUAGACAUCCACAUUAGGGAUGGCUCCCUUCAGGUGAGAGAAGUUUCAUUUCUUUUCAGAAGAAACCAGUUCUGCCCUUUUCCCUGUCUGCUGGAGAGAAGAAUAAGAAAGCUGUUUCUCCUCCACAUGAUAGCAUCUGGAGAUAACAGAGAAGAGCCUUUGGGUUGAGCAUGUAGAGAAGAUGGAAGAAAGAAACAAAGAAGGAGGAAAAUGUCUUGUUCUUUCAUUCGCACCUGUUAAUUUAAUAGCCAGAAUCAUCCAUCAUGGUGAAGUACAAGGAAGAUAUUGCAUGAAAGGACCAGCAAGACGCCUCAAAUUGCACUUGCUGCAUCUGCAGGUGUUGUGGGAUGCAUUCCUUGGCUUAACUGGGACAGGCUGGUGUAGCUGCAGUGGAAGACUGGGAGGCUGCAGAAAGAUGUGCUGUGAAAUGAGCUGUAGAACCUUCCCCUUAGGAGUGCAGAAGGGUGGCAUGGAGAGUCAGGACAUGUAUGCAGGAAAUGAAGACACAGUAAGAAGAUGCUGCUUUUCUUGGAGAGUCCAGAAGUGCUGAAUUGCACUGGUUUGCCCCUGUGCUUCUCCAUGCAGCUUCCUAACCCACCCGGGAGCAUGCGCUGGCGCUGUGCCCCUCAGGAAGCUGACAGCAGAGCCAGAUCACUGCAAUGGAAGGUGUGUGGGAAACUUGCAUGACAGCCUGGUGGUUUGCAGCAGGGACAUCUCAAAACCAGGCAGCAGAUUCCAGCCUGCUGUGUUUUCCUGCAUCCCUGGCCAAGGCUGGGACACGCUGCUUCAUGCAGAGGCAAUGUGAUGUUGGCGGGACUGAUUGGGCAAUAUCUUUCUGACAGACAAUGCUCUUUUACCAACAAACUUUUAUUUGGAAAGGAAAACUAUAUUUUGGCGCAGUGACCUUGAAGGAUUGCCAAGGUCUGAGGGGAAAUCUGCUUUUUUGGCAUCCUGUGAACCCUCAGGUUUUGGGGCAGAAGUGGCAGGGUGACAUCAGUAAGCAAGGAGCUCUCCGUAAGGAUUGGCUGUUACAAGAAUUGACACAGAUCAGGGCUCUCCCUUUGGACACCUUCUCCAUUAGUUCCCAUUAGCCUAACAAUACCCAACUCCUAGGGCUGAAUUGGUUAUUUUUACAUAUUCAAACUCAUGAUUUAUCCCUGGCUGUAAGAAAUGCAAGGGCUUGCAACCUCAUCCUAACACUCUUGUAUCAGCACUGAAAUUAAAUAAUAACUGCAUGUUAUUACACACAAAUACUUGUAGUAUAAAUUGCUUAAACAGAAUGUGAUGUUUGCCAUUUCUGAAUCUGGCCAUAAUGAAUUCUCUUGUUUUGAUAUUAUUCAAGCAAAGAAUUAAUCAGUUAGCCUUUGAUGGGAAAGGAGUAUUUUUCUCUUCAUUUUAGGUUUCUGUUUUCUAAGAAAAGGUACUGAAAACACUUAGAAGUACUGCUUAACAAUGCAAAUGAGCACAUUUACUUUACUAACAGAGUGUUUCUAUUCUUAAAUGGAAAAAAAAGAGAAUACCAUUUUUGAAAAGCUGUGAGAAAGCUACGAGGUUUGACACCUACAGACUUCUGUGGUUGAUAAAAAAAAAAAUAAAAAAAAUAAAAGAGUAAAAAUGUUCUUGCUU
ensembl:lncRNA